rnacentral:lncRNA from 1 species
UUAAACCCCAAACAAGCAGAAGGGUAGAAAUGAUAUAUAUAAAAACAGAAAUAAAUGAAGUGGAAAACAGAAAAAUAGUAGAGAAAAAUCAAUGAAACCAAAAGGUGGUUCUCUAAGUAAAACUCUAUGCAGACAUUCUAUGGGUGGUGGGUAUUAUAAAUAAAGUUUCGGUACCGCAAAAGAAAUAGCACUCGAAUAUAAAAUUUUCUUUUUAAUUAUCAGCAAGGCAAGGUACUUCUAUAGAAGGGUGCGCCCUUACAGACGGAGCAAUGGUGAGUGCACACCUGGACAAGGGAGGGAAAGGGGUUCUUACCCCGACACACAUGGCCUCUGAUGCUGUGUCGUUCCCCUAUUGGCUAGGGUUAGACCGCACAGGCUAAACUAAUUCUGAUUGGCUACUUUAAAGAGAGUGACAGGGUGAGUGGUUUGGGAGGAAAAAUGGUUAUGACAGAGCAGUUAAUCGGAAUGAGUGAGGGUGGAGUAGGUAAUCGGAAUCAGUCAUGGUGGAGCAGGUAAUCAGAAUGAGUCAGGGUGGAGCAGGUGAUUGAAAUGAGUCAGAGUGGAGCAGGUAAUCGAAAAAGGUUGCUUUAUGAGGAAGUUAAGUUUAAAAGUAGAAGGCAAAGAAUUGAACAUACUGACAUAUUGAUUCUUUGAAAAGAAAUUUAGAACUCAUAUCUAACAUGGGAGAGUGGGAAGAGGAAGAAGAUACAAAUGACCAGUACCAGGACUGAAAGGGAGAUAUCACUGCAGACCCUACAGACAUUAAAAAGGCUAAUAAGGGAAUACAAUAAACAAUUUUAUGCAUACAAAUUCAACAGUUUAGAUGAGAUGGACAAAUUCCUUGGAAAUUAUAAAUGCCAAAAGUCACCCCAAACUGAAUUUUUAGUGACUGGAGGCAUUUAUCUCAGUGGACUCUCCAGACUUUAUUCAAAGCCAUUGCCUGCUUCCAUCAAGCUUAGUCUUGAAUCUUUACCAAUGUUUGAUUUAUUCCUCUUACUUUUUUUUCUAUUAACUUUGAAUACCAUCCCUCCUCCUUUCCAAGACUUUAUUUAUUGUGAGUGAUAAUUGACAUAACCUUCAGGAACCUCAGAAACCUUAGGCAUCUGCAGAAACAUUUUGAAGCAUAUCAGACUAGCCUAUCUUUCUAGAAACCCGAUUCCCAUUCCCCUCUGCCAAACCCCUCAGCGGCGAUGUGUAUACUUUGUAUUAGUGCAUAUUCAGGAAGGUUCAAAGCACUUGUCUGCUACUCUUUGCAUGGCCACACCCUCAGUCAAGGGCCUUUCUGCUUCCAGCAUCAUUACAGAUGGAUUUGAGGCUUUGGGCUAUCUCCAGGGGAGCCAUCUCCUCCAGGUUUUUGUUCCCUUUUCUGACUCAGAACUUAACCAUUCUGGCAAAACUUUCUGUGGUGUGGCCAUAGUUACAGUACAGCGUUUGCAUUCUAUGGGUCUUACAACACUAUCCCCCAAAUCCACCAAUUUUCAGUAGCAUGUAGCUUGUCUCAUAAGCUUUAUUUCCUGCUUUAAAGGAUGAACAGUCCUCAGAGGAACCAAGUUCCUUGCCCAAAUAAUUUUGGCAAGGCUAAGACACUGAAGGACAUCUAUACGCCUUGUUUUCUCAUACAUCUUAGGCCUGUAAAUUCUGGUUUAUGGGUUCACAUCCAGAGUCCCUCCUUUCUUUCCAGCUUUCCAAUUAGUUUCUGUUAAUUUAUAUGGUAGAAAAUACAUAUUUCAAAGACGUAGUUCUUAGCUCUGUCUCAAAGUGCUUAAGCAGUUUUUAUCAAUUUCUUCUUAUUUGGGAGUGGUAUCCCCAAGCUAAUACCGCCUGUGAGGGAAAAAUAUAUACUCUUAGGCAACAUUUUGCUAGUAGCUUGAUAAUCAUAAGAGUGUCUUCUUGCUAGCAAUAUUUUGAGUACAACAGCAACAGAGUGUGCAAUGGAUUCACUGGUUAAGCCAAAAAGUUAUAAUGUUUGAACCUCCCAAGGGCCACCUCCAUAUUUAAUAUGAAUUUCUUUAAACCACCAGAGCUGGGCCUCAUUUCUCCCAUACUCUGUGGGAGUUCUGACUUUCAUCCAAGAUCUUCCCUAUGACUUUAAGAGCAGAAAGACAUGGUCCUUGUGGUGUCUCCCAAACUGGACUCCUCUUAGUUACAAGUGGACUAUGACUGACUUAUUAAAAUGAUCCUCAUCUUUCCAGAAACACUUGAAUGCUGCCACCAGUAUAUUUUUUAGCUGAGACCUUCCUCUUCCUUUUUUCCCCAUAACCAGAAUCUGUGGUCUGUGCUAACAUUGCUUCUCCAUGAAAAUUUCACUCCCACUCCACUCUUUCUACCUUUCUGCAGAUGCCUGCACUUUCACCGCAAAUCAUGAAAUGAUUACAUAUUUUUAACAGCAUUAUUGAGAUUAAAUUUAUUUACCAUAAAGCUCACCCAGGUAGCAGUGGCUGCCAGCUAUACCCUUUCAUAGAAUUAGCCUUUUCUUUAGGCUUUGCUCUUCUCAAAACAAAUACUUCCCUUUUUGUUCUCUUGUUUCCUCUUGUAAGUCCCUAGGAUUAUUAAACAUAGGGCUUGAAUUUCACUUUGAAAUGUUUUCCACGUUUGUGGUAAUAAUGUCACCUGAGGGUUUCUACUAGAUUAAGUAAAGGAAGAAACAGAGUGGGAGGGGAAUGAAGUGUGACAAACUCUCUUAUAAAAGAUAAGGCAAAAAUGGCAGUCAAUUAUUGUUUCUGAUAAAUGUAAUGUCAUCCAAUAAUUUAUAGUAAUUCUGAGAACUAUAGCCAGUAAAAUGAAUUUGCAUAGUCUGUCUUCUUUAGGACACUGAUUUUCAAACUUGAAUGCACACUGGAAUCACCCGAGGAAUUUAAAAAAACACCGACACCUGGAUCCCACACAAGGACCCUGAUUUAAAUGGAUAAUCCUCACCAGCCUCAGAGUUCAUGUCUGAAAGUAUAGAGGCGGCAGAUAACCAAUGCAAGUGAACAUGGGUGAAAAUGGAUGAAAGUCCAUCUGGGCUGUCUGCAAAAUGAGAAGAUUCUAGACACUGUUUCUUAAAUACCUUGGAGGCGAGGAUCACAAAAUGCUCUCAGAAGUUUAUGAAAGCUAUGGAGUCUCCGGAAAUAUUCAGAAUUUUGCAUGUAAUUUUCAUAGAUUGCAGAUUCCCUGAAGAACACCAGUAGUUGAGGACUCCUAGAACCCAGGUUAACAGUAGCUAGGGUUCAUGCAGUACUUGACAUGUAGUAAGUUAUAAAUGUUUGUGAUGAUGAGAAUUAAUAGCUUUGUUUCAUGGAGUGAAGAAUGAGAAAAAAAAUACUUGUUUUUAUAAAUGGAGUUUUUAAUGAUUACAGAAAAUAUGUUUCCAGAGCCUGGAAACAGGCUGCUUGUUAACAUUCAUUAUCAGUGUUUAUUAUUUUUAAUGCUCAUUCUUUUGUUUUUAAUUGGCAGUUUUGGCAAUAUGGAAUAGUCCAUUUAGGAACUCCUGACUACUUGUUAUUUACUUUAUACCAAGCACGCUGAUAAUCAAUUUACCUGGAUUAGCUCAUUUAAUCCAAACAAAUCCCAAUAAGUAGGUUUCUCUAAUAAAGAAGUUGAGACUUAGAGUAACUCGUAAUGGUCCCAAAGACUGUCAUGUGUAGGGAACAACUUUGUUUCAUGAAGUGAAGAAUGUAUAGAACACAAACUAUUUUUUAUAACCACCUUCAUUGGCAAAAUAAUUGCUGAAAAAUUCCUACAGAUUCCAGCAAGCAUUUGUUAAUAAUAAUUUGUUGCUUUGUGUUGAUGUAUAAUCUGGCUUUCACUGAUAUUUUAGUAAGGACUCUGCACAGGAUAAGUAUGGAUAGCUAGCUAGAAGCUAUUCUCACUCUUCUCUUCAGCAUGGUGACUUGAAUUUCCAUGGUAUAGUUUCAACAUUGUCAUUUGGUUUCCUCAUUAUCUUUGGCUUUUCCAAGAGCAUGCUACCUAUAUUAUAAACUGAACCUUAUUUUAUGUUCUAUAGCUCCAUAGCUUGUUUCUGCUUCAUUCAACCUGAUUUCAUGCUAAACAUGAAAGUAGCUAUAAAAUUCCUACUUUAAAGUGUUAAUUGAAAGAUUAUGAAGAAAAGAACAGGGUUUUAGUAAAGACUAUAUUUAACUGAUGGUAAAGACUAUCAUGACCAAAUUUAUUUGGCAAAUGUUUGCCACUAAUGUUGACAGGUAAUGUAAAUGGCUCAUACUAUAAUAAUCUGCUUUCUUUUUUUGUCUUCUUCCAGGUUCUGGAUGAAGCCUUCCACCAUUUUAAAGCUCCUUUUAUGGAUAUUUCUGGUUUUGGUCUCAGAUUUUCAUUCUCCAAACAUUCUCUUUAGAUGACCACAUUCACUUUCAAGUAUUCAUGCCAAAUAAAUCUUCAUUUCCAGCCCAGACCUCCCUCCAAACUCUUGGUUUGUUUAGUCACUUGCAACACAGAUUAUUCAUCCAGAUUUCCAUGGGCAUCUCAAAAUCAACACAUCCAAAAUGAAGUUAUCAUCCCUGAUAAUCCUCCUAGCUCCUGUCCCAUUCAUCUCCCUCCCAUCUCUCACCCAUAAAGAAUUAACUACUGAUGUUUCUCACUAACCAACCCAUAAUAAUGACCUGCAUUAAUUAAUCCAUGUGCAAUUCAGAAUUACUUACAUUCAUUUAUCCAUGUGAUAUUUUCACUCAUUAAUCACCAUCGUCUGCAUAUGUAAACAGGAACAACAACAUCCACCUAUCCCAGCAGGGGUUUUGCAAUUACUUUAAAGCCUUUUCAAAUAUAUUUUUGUGUGAUUAAAAUGAUGGAGAUAUUUCAAAUGAAUUCAAGUAUAAAAUGCAAAAUAUUCCAACUUCAUAAACUGUUUACUUCUGGCUUAGAAAAUGUUAAUAUUUUUACUCAACCCAUCUGGCUCUGGAGAUGCUGUGUGUGCUUGAUAAUUGUAUGUGAAAAUUAUUAUUUGCAUCUUUAAAAAUUACUUGAGGAAUGCUAUUUAUUAAACUUGUUAUUCCUAUCUAUUUUUUGACAACAUAAUACAACUUUAAAUUCAAAAGAAAAAUUGACAAGACAUAUUUUAGCAGUUUAAAAUGAACAUCACAGAUACAAAAUGAUCAAAGUAAAAUAUUAUUAGCUGUAGAUGACUCAAAUAUUUCCUCGUCUUACUGUCUUUUGUUUUGAUGUGAUUUCCUUCCAUCCUUAAAAAAUCCUGUAGCACCAUCUGCUCCUAUAACACUUUGGCAUGCUUAAAAAUUUCAUUUCCAGACUCGGCAGUUUUGAAAUACUUCCAUGGACAUUUCUUAAAGAAAAUAAGUUGGAAGAAUUUCCAUUCCUCCCAGCUUGUUUCUUAAUAAACAGCAGACGAAGUACUCAAGAAACACAGAGCUAUAUAAAUGUUUUGUUAUAAUCAGACAUUUCCCUUCUGAUUUUCCCUCUGACCCUGUGGCUAUAUUAUGCCUGAGGAAACAGUAUUUUAUAUGCUAUGUGCACAGUUUAUGCAACAAUUUUUUAAUAUGCAGAUCUGGUUUUAUAAUCUGAAUUCUAAAAUGUAAUGAAUUUCCAUGAAGUGUAUGUUUCAUGGAUAAGCCAGCAUUUAAUAAAUGACUAGAUUACCCAAACACUCCAAGGGAAGUUGGAGACUAAGCAAGUAAUAUCAGUAAAAAUAAUCCAAUAAACUAAAUAGAUUCUCCUUCUACGAAAUUUAACCAUACAUUUAGAAAAAAUUAGACUUCCAGUUUUUGACAGCGGUAAUGGAAAAUUAAGUGGCUCAUUUUUUCAAUGUGUAUGACUCCAAGUCGUUGAAACUGAUACAGAAGUAUAAAUAAGAGGUAUUAAGUGAUGCUGAAACUGUGGUAGGAGAAAUAGCAAUGGACUAAUGGCCUCCUCAGGGAAGCCUAAAUAUAGGUGUUGCAUUGUUUACAAAUAUAUUCAUCCUUUUAGUCACUUAUUCAGCAUAUAUCAAACACCUACUAUGUCUAGAUUUCAUGUUAGUUUCUGCAAUGAAUCAAUAAUUUCCUUGUCAUUUUAAAAUAAUAUUUAUCUAUCAUCUUAGAGAUGCAACUUGGUCCCCUUCAUCCAGCAAUUUCUACUCUAACCCGUUUUUCACAUAAUAGCCAGAGUAAAUUUUGUAAAGUUACAAUUGUAUUGUAGGAUAAAGGUCUAACUCCUUAAUGUGGUUUACAAUGCCCUUUACAAAAGUCUCACUUUUACUUACCCUCUUAGUCUCUGCCUUUCUACACUUACUGUCUAGCCAUACUGAAUUACUUCGCUGUCACUCGAGACUUAGUUCUUUGCAUGCUCUUUCCUCCACCAAAAAUAUUUUUUUUUCUCCUCUCCUUACCUGGCUUCUUUUUUAAAAACUUUUAUUUAUUUAUUUAUUUAUUUUGAGACAGAGUCUCUCUCUAUCACCCAGGUGGGAGUGCAGGGGUGCAAUCUCGGGCUCACUGCAACCUCUGCCUUCCAGGUUCAAGCGAUCCUCCUGCCUCACCCUCCCAAGUAGCUGGGAUUACAGGCAUGCACCACCAUGCCUGGCUAAUUUUUGUAGUUUUAGUAGAGACGGGGUUUCACCAUGUUGGCCAGGCUGGUCUCAAACUCCUGACCUCAAGUGAUCUGCCUGAGGCCUCCCAAAGUACUGGGAUUACAGGCGUGAGCCACCGUUCCCGGCCUCUUUACCUGACUUCUUUUCUUUACCCUUUAGUUUCUGACAUAAACAUCUUAUCAGUGAAACCUUCCCUAAGGAACAAUGCCAAGUCAGAUGACCAUAGUGACCUAUGCUUUCCACCUUGCAGCACAUAACACAGCCAGUUAUUUAUUUCCUUGCCUCUUCUACUGGACUGUAAACCCCUUGAGGACAGGAAAUAUACUUUGCUUGCCCUGGAAACCUCGUUAUGUGAAAUAGCACUUUGGCAUACCUUGGUAAAAAAAAGGCUGAAUGAGGAAGUGGAAGAGUGAGCCAUGCAUUCUUCCUGUCUCUCUGAGUGAGGUCAUUCAAAAUGGCAAGGGUGUAAAGACGAGGGAGGCAUUCAUUUGCCUUGCCACUUGACUACAUGGGUUGGAAUAUUUGAUGGUAAAUGCACAUACUUAAUCAUACUCUUUUUUAAACACUACAUUUAAAUUCUAAUUUACUAUUAAAAUAUUUCCAACUUAAAUCAGUAAUGCCUUAAUUUUUCUUAUGGAGAAGAGUGUGUGACUUACUCUUCUUGUUUACUUUAGUGCAUUAUGAUGGACUGAAAUACAAAACAAUUCCAAGAUCAACUUAAAUAUAUUUUUCUUGUUUUGGAAGCAGAAUAAUAAUAACAAAUUAACUAAUCUAGAGAAAUAAAUAUGUUCAGUAGAGAGAUAAUUGCAUUUGCUUGGGUAAAAUAUUUUGGCUUGCUCAGUAUCACAUGUAUACAGCUGUAUUUCUAAAACAACUUUAUUCAUAAAUAACAUUUCUUUAAAUAUUUAUUGAUAAUGAUAUGGCAAUCUAGUAUACUAUGACUUUAACCUCUAUAGAUUCUAAGAUCAAAUAUGUAAAUGAAAUAAACAUACAUCUAUGCAUAUUCAACUAGGAAGCAUUGUAUUGAAACACUAAUGAUAGUAUUAAGGGUUGAAUUUUAUUUUCAUUUUUUUACUUUUCUAUAUUUUUCCAAACUUUGAGAAUGAGCACAUAGAAAAGAAAACCAAUUAACAUUUUUAUAUAUGAGAUAGAGCAGAAAAGAUAAUGACAUUGUUCAAGAGAGAAAUAGUAGAUAUGGGUGUUCCAUAAGUUUCUUGCUAGCUUUAAAACUAAUUUUAUGAGUUCUCAAUUGUACUGUCAAAAAAUAUAUAGAUUUCAAUCCAGUAGAGAUUCAAAUAGAAAUAUCUGUCAAAUAUUCUUUCUUAAUAGAUAAUUAAUGAAAAAGCAUACAAUAUGACUGUCAUAAAAGGUGAAUGCCUUUCACCUCAUGGGCACUUACGUAUCUAAUGAAUCCAUGAACUGGUCAAUGAAUAGAAACUGAAGUUUGUGUAUUAAAAUCCUGUCUCUGCUGCCCUCCAGUGGCUUAACUCUGAAGAACUUCAAAAGAGAAAAUCAAGUGCCAUCUAUUCCCAGAUCCUUAUUUGUGGUGAGUAUGAAUGCUCAGGUGUGUGAGCUUGGGAUUUUUCCUGGACAGUUUUGUAUUUGUCCUAUUAGAUAUUACCUUGGUAUAUCAAGACCAAAUUCCCAAGACUAAAUGCAUUACCCAUCUCCUCCCACCUGCAGAAGGGUAAGCUGGAGCAACUGCCAUAAAUGGUGCCAAUAAAUACUAGCAUUUGUUCGUGGACAGUUUAUAGAGACUUUUCAAUUGUGUUAUCACAGAAAACUCCUAGUAAGAAAUAGUGGUGAUAGCAAUUGCAUCUCGUUUAUUAGAAAUUUCUCUGAUUCCCUUUACAAAGUGGGUGAUGGUGUCAGUGUUAUCUUUAGGUAUGAAAACCCUAUGAACAGCUUAUAGUCUAAAACUUACAAUGUGGUGCUGUAGAAAGAUGUUAGCUUAGCAGCAAACAUCAUCAAUAAAUAUCUUCUGCAAUCUGGUAACCAUUAGAAUUAUAUAUUUUUUAUUGCCCUGGACUAUGAGAAUUACAUUCUGAAUUCAUUUGGUAUCUUGUGUAGGCAUAGGAGAAAACCUUUUUGUAUCUAAGAAAAUGGGGUUUUUGACAUUGACUAUCACCUGUUCCCAGAUCUCCUAGGACUCAGACCUCAGACCUCACACCCCUGAAAGCUGAAACCUCGGGGGUUUCAGAUAGUGAUCUCUAAUUGAGUUCUUGUCUAGAUGAAUUCUUAAAAUAUUUUACCUUUCCCUGUUAUUGUGGUUCUGGAAUAUUCUUUUGGUUUUAGCCAAGGAAAUCUCUCAAUUUCUUCAAAAGUUUGCUACUGUGCCUCUAGGUGGUACAAUUAUUUCCAUCUUUUUGCUCAUUUGCAGCCUGUCUUUUUGGAUUAUAGUCUCUCACUACUUAAGCAAUUUCUUCCUUUUCUGUAGUAUGUCUCAUUUGUCCUUCAUAAUAAUGAAUGUCUGUGUUUUUUAUUCUCAGGUAGAUUACUGGAAUUUUACGUAUAUUUUAUUGGUGUUCUCAUGAAUGCUUGGAUUUAACAAUUGUACCAUUUUCCAACGUUCUAUGUCAUAGUAAUUUUGCAACUUGUUUUCAAUUAAUAAUAUGUUGAGAAUAGUGUACAUAAAAUGCAUUUUAGAACUAAUCCUAAGAUAAAGUGUCUCACCAAAGCAUAUUUUAUAACAAUAAAGCAGUAGAAAAAAUAAGUUAACUAAAUGUCCAACAAGUGGAGAUGUAUUAUAUAAAUUCAGUACCAUCAAAAAUGUAAUAUUACUCAGUAAUUAAAAUUAUAUUUUAUUUAAAUGUUCAUUGGCUUGUGAAAAGUCUAUAACAUACCAAGUAGAAGUUAAAGUUAUAUUUUGUAAGUUAAAAAAAUUUUAAAAGGUGAGAAGUAUAUACAAGAUUUUUCCCAUUUUUUUAGAAAUGGAUAUGCAUGUGUAUAUUGUAUGUAUGUUUAUAUGUUA